rnacentral:rRNA from 1 species
GACGAACGCUGGCGGCGUGCUUAACACAUGCAAGUCGAACGGAAAGGCCCUGCUUUUGUAGGGUGCUCGAGUGGCGAACGGGUGAGUAACCCGUGAGUAACCUGCCCUUGCCUUUGGGAUAACUUCAGGCAACUGGGGCUAAUACCGGAUAGGAGCUCCUGCUGCAUGGUGGGGGUUGGAAAGUUUCGGCGGUUGGGGAUGGACUCGCGGCUUAUCAGCUUGUUGGUGGGGUAGUGGCUUACCAAGGCUUUGACGGGUAGCCGGCCUGAGAGGGUGACCGGCCACAUUGGGACUGAGAUACGGCCCAGACUCCUACGGGAGGCAGCAGUGGGGAAUAUUGCACAAUGGGCGGAAGCCUGAUGCAGCAACGCCGCGUGCGGGAUGACGGCCUUCGGGUUGUAAACCGCUUUCGCCUGUGACGAAGCGUGAGUGACGGUAAUGGGUAAAGAAGCACCGGCUAACUACGUG